AUGAAGGCCUGGUCGACGCCGGCGUCGUGGAGGUGGAAGAGCUGCUGCAGCUGGCCCUGGAAGGCGGUGACGCUGCCCUCGGCGUCGUCGCGGGCCGCCCGGCGCCGGCGCCGCAGCCGCAGCAGGUGGCGCGCCAGCAGGUGCAGCAGGCCGCAGACGAAGAAGACGAUCGCCAGCACCGCCACGAUGAAGAGGAUGCUGGGGCUGAUCUUGGUCUCCACCGUCUCCAGCGCCGACGACCCCGGCGCCGUCCACGACGAGUUGCUCAUGGUCCUUGUAGUGCUCCGCACCGAGCCCACCGCUCCAAGCAAGCAAGCAGCCACGGAUGAGAGCCCGAGCUUCGGGCUUACGAUCCGGAGCAAAGGUGGAGCCUCGGCAUGGCCGCGCUGGAUUAGGGGGGGACGGGAGGGAAGCUUUGUGUGGGGGGUCGCGGGGGCAAUAAAUUGCGGCAGAGAGAGAGAGAGACCGGGCGAGAUUGUUUAG
rnacentral:rRNA from 1 species